UCCAAGAAGGGUGCUCUAUAUUCUUAUUCUUGGAUAUUUUUUUUUCGAUUAAUAAAAAAAAAUAAACCAUAUUUCUUAUGAAACUAUGCUGGCGUUUAUAAAACCAACAACGCCUUAUUGAUUAACUAAAGAUACUUUUAAAACUAUAAAUUUUAUUAAUGAAUGAAAAAAAUACACAUACAAACUUUUUGACUUCUGGCCAAAUUUCACAAGUGCAGUUAAUGGCUCCUUGAGGGAAAAACGCAGAACAGGCAACAAGUUCUAUGAAUCUUAAAGUAAUUUCAAAAGAAAGUGCAUCAUACUAUAAACUAUUAAAUAAACAUAAUAAAGGUUGUUAAUUACAGCAAGUUAUGAACAUUUAUUUAUGUAUGACGUCUUGAAGUCUGGCAGCAUUGUUAACGUUGUUUUACUUUGACAGUUCUGCCAUCUAACCUCAAACACGGACUAAAAAUUGACAAGUUUUCUCUUCUGCAAUAAUUGUCGGCCACCACACGGAAAAUUAAAAAAAAGAAACUUUUUAAUUGUUUAAACAAAUUUCAAUUGUUAAUUUCAAUAUGCAACAAUAAUAUUCACCUAAAACAAUAUGCCUUAAAUAUCAAAUUCUAUAGGUUUUCCCCCAACAAAAAACGUUAAAUACUUUUUGACAAAGUUUAACAAAACAAGUGAAAAGUGUUAGAAGAAAAAAAACGUAAAGAAGAAAAAAAAUAACAACUACAACAAAAACAGUGACUAAACCAAAAUAUAGAAAUAUUGGAUUGAUGGAGAAGGAGCUGGGCACCAAAUACGCAGUAAAUUCUGCGAAUGAACUUGAUAUCGAUAGUGAUACUCCGCAUAAGAAAUCAAAAAAGGCCAAAAAGAAAAAAAGUCGAAGGACACACGACAAAUCAAACUCUUCACGCAGUCGAAGCAACAGCUUAAGACGUCAAUCGUCCUCCAGUGGUCAUGGCGGCGCCACCAGCAGUCAAAAACUUCACCAUACUACCUCCGAUAACAUAGUUGAAUACUCGGAUGUUAGCUCUACAGACUUUUCGGAUCCCGAGGUGGGUGAGAUCAAUUCAGACGCUUCGGUGGGUCAACGUUGUGAAAAGCUACUGGCCACAAAUGUUGUGGGCAAAAAGCGUCAUAAUGUUGCAAGUAAUAAAAAUAGCACUAAACCUGCCUCUCUAAAGCCCAAGGCGCAUUCCGAUGUCAGUCUCAGCAGUGAAGAGGAAAACUACAGACUUUACCACGCCUUCUCUAGAAACAAGAGAAAAGAUAGCUUCGACAGCUUAUCCAGACUCUCACCCAAUCACGUGAGACGCAUUAUUCUUGGUUCUCCUGUGCCCAGCUCGACAAAGGUUAAUUUAAGUGAGGCCCAUGGUGCUGGCAAAAACCUGGACAGCAAAGAUAAAGAACGUCAUCAGAUUGAAAGUAGGCGUUCCUCGAUUUUAACACCACCCACAGCCAGCCAUAAGUCACAGGAUAAAAUUGUGGCCGAAGAGUCUGAUUGGGAUGAGGAACUGGAUAACUAUUUGACUAGUGAUACCAUCGACACGGAUGAGCUGGAGGCUGAAAUGAAACGUCAGAAACGAAAGAAAAACAAAAAAGACAAAAAACACAAGCGCAGUCGCAAAUCGAAGAAGCGCAAAAAGAAACGUAACAAAUCAUUUUCAAGCAUUGAACCCAUAUCGGAUAAUGAUUUAGAUGAUGUGCUGGAUACGAAUGUGGCUUUAAGACACUAUACGCCGCCAGCGGAGGUAGUUGUGGCGGCCAAAAGUCCGUCGGAUCCUACUUAUACACCCAUUAAACAGCGCAGUCCACGUUCGUCGGACACCCCACCUCCUAUACGACCUGGCAGCAGCAAUAGCUACUACUCGGAAUCCGCCAAUAUGGCAGUACAGCCGAGUGUGUCAGCUGCUGCUGCGGCGCCGGCCAAUAACAUUGUGGGCCUACAAGUCACUGUGACAAAUCGUAUGGGUGGUGCCCGCCAUCGUACACCACCACGUACUUCCAACACAAAAAAUCGUUUCCCAAAUCCUCAUUCACCGCAUACGCCUCCCCUGUAUGCCAGCAGCAGUAGUACAGUGUCGGGGCGCGAGGUGCGCAGUUCUCGUUUUGUCAUAAGUCCGGGCAAAGACGAUCAUCGCCACCAUCACCAUCAUCAUGGACGUCCAGAUAUUGCCGGCGCCGCUGGCAAUCACCACUACCAUCAGCGACAAACGGCAGCCGUCACUUCAGACAGUCACAAAUACAAAGACACCGAUCGCUAUUACCACCAUCAACCGUCGACGCCUCCCCAUAAGAAACGAAAAAUGCACGAAGUCCGCAAUGCUGCCAAUUCGCAAAGCUAUUACGAUCACGGCAGAAAUAGUUCACGUAAUAUGCGGCCGAAUGAAUAUGAUCGUUAUAAUAGAGACAACUACUCGAAACGUUAUUCCAGAAGUCCCAGUAUAUCGCUUAUGAGAAUAAGAGGUGGCCAGUCACCCUCUUCCACCUAUCGCUCGGGCGGUGGCUCACACAAAUACAAAUACCCAACUUCACCCUCACCAGUACGUUCACGUUCAUCGAAACGUGAUCGUUAUGCCUCUCGAUCCCGUUCGCCACGGCCUUCACGUUAUGCGGAAUCUCCCACAGAUUCACCACGCAGUGGUACUCAUCAUUACUAUCGUAAUCGUCGUUCUUCAUCGCGCUACAGGCGGUCACGUUCAAAGCAUUCUCCUGCCAGCAUGUCUCGAAGUCGUACAAGGUCACGAUCACCAUCUAGUACUCCGCAUGAUUUGAAACAAAAGCGAAUAGAGUACAGCAAGAAGAUCAGUGAGACGAGUUUGUUUGCCGAACUGGUGAAGGAUAAACAUAAGAGACAAAAAGCUUUGCAGGAAAUCAUUGAAAAACAGGAAGAGAAUAGUAAUAGUAAUGGGGCUUUAGCAAUAAACGACAACAGUUCAUCCAUGGACAGCAAUGUACCGGCCGUCAAAGCUAAUGCGGAUGAAAACACCACCAUAAACACCACAACAGCUACUACGGAAAAUUCCAAAGAGACAGUAAUUUCACAGCCGUUGGUAGUAGCAGCGAGUACUCAACAAACUGCUAUAGCAGCAGACGCGUUACAAACUCAACAGAGCAAUGGUGUGAAAAAGCAAGCAGUGGACGUAAAUAACAUUCCAAUGCCACAAAUAAUAGUCAGCCCAACCACAGCUACAACCAAGACAACAACAACAACAUCAUCAGGUAAUGAUGAAACAGAUCGUGCCCUUACCUCAUCAACCAUACCUCCAAAACUACAGCAACCAACAAUUACCCAAACGCAAGAUACUACUACCCUAAAGACAACUACAAAACCUAAGAGUCUCACAGCACUGCCCAUGCCUCCAGGCAUAACAGCAGCUGAUUUAGCGUUGGUCUCGUCACCCUCACCGCCACCCAAUCAUCAUCAUAGUACCAACACAAAUGCCAAGCAACAAAGUGCAACGUCCAAGAAAGCAACUAGUAUUGUUACGACCUCAAGCACAACGUCGUCAACGGGGCCUGCGGCUAAUGCUAACAAAAGUCUGCUUAAUCUACCCAUGCCUCCCAUGGUGCCGGGCAGUGAAGAUCUCAGUGGUGAUGACGAGCUCAUCAACAGUCCCGAAGACUUUGAUAAUCUGGGUGGAGGUGGCAGCAACAGCAGCACCAGUGCCGGCAAAAGCAACAAAAAUGCCCCAGAAACUAAACGCAAACGUCCCGUCAUCCUCAACCGACGUGAUUCACGCAACAAUGUGCGUGAUUGGGGUGAACGUUGUGUCGAUGUAUUCGAAAUGAUAGCCCAAAUUGGUGAGGGUACCUAUGGGCAGGUGUACAAAGCGCGCGAUCAUCACACCAACGAAAUGGUGGCACUUAAAAAAGUGCGCAUGGAUCACGAGAAAGAGGGCUUCCCCAUAACGGCUGUGCGUGAAAUCAAAAUUCUGCGUCAACUCAACCAUGCGAAUAUCGUUAAUUUGCACGAAAUUGUCACCGACAAACAGGACGCGUUGGAGUUUCGCAAGGACAAGGGUUCAUUCUAUUUGGUAUUCGAGUAUAUGGAUCACGAUCUCAUGGGUUUGCUGGAAUCGGGCAUGGUCGAUUUUAACGGUGAGAAUAAUGCGAGUAUCAUGAAACAACUGCUGGACGGACUUAAUUAUUGCCACAAAAAGAAUUUCCUACAUCGUGAUAUAAAAUGCUCAAACAUUUUGAUGAACAACAAGGGUCAAGUGAAGCUGGCUGAUUUUGGUUUGGCCCGUCUGUAUAAUGCCGAAGAUCGUGAUCGUCCCUACACCAAUAAAGUCAUUACUUUAUGGUAUCGGCCGCCCGAGCUGCUGCUGGGCGAAGAACGUUAUGGGCCUGCGAUCGAUGUGUGGUCGUGUGGCUGUAUACUCGGUGAACUUUUCCUAAAACGACCGCUUUUCCAAGGCAACUAUGAAAUGGCUUUAUUGGAAAAUAUAUCAAAAGUCUGCGGUUCACCGGUGCCCGCUGUCUGGCCCAAUGUCAUAAAACUACCACUCUUCCAUACACUCAAACAAAAGAGAACACAUCGAAGAAGACUACGUGAAGAUUUUGAGUUUAUGCCCGUGCCAGCGCUGGAUCUGCUAGAUAAAAUGCUGGAAUUGGAUCCAGAAAAGCGUAUAACGGCCGAAGAUGCUCUCAAAUCGCAGUGGUUGAAGAGCGUCAGACCCGAAGAAAUGCCCGCCCCCAUAUUGCCCACUUGGCAGGACUGCCAUGAAAUGUGGAGUAAAAAACGUCGCCGCCAACAUCAACAGCAGCAGCAGCAACAACAACAGCAUCAACAACCCUCUGUUACACAUACCACAGCUGCCGCCGCAGCCCAAGAUGCCUAGCAGCAACAACAGUCUGGCGACAAUACCUAACACAGUCGUAGCCCCCCUAUUGGUGCAUUUGCUUUGGGAAAUACAAAUAGCAAUAGAUAUCGAGAGUGGCGAUGAUUUGGUUAUACAUACAAAACUAAUUUAAACAAAUUCAAGAAGAAAGAAAAAUAGUUGGCAUUUGAAUUUUAGGGCUUUGAUUAAUAACUAUUUGUUAAGUUUAUACUUUAUUUUUAUAAAAACAACAAACAAACAAAAUAUAAAUAUUAGUAAUCCAAAACAAAUGAAACAUAAACAAUUUUGAUUAGCUUAAGUUUAUCUUAUUAAGAUAUUGCGCAAACAAGUUGCAAAUUACUUGUACCAACCAACCAUCUUAUUAUCUCUUAAACAAUAUAUAAAAAAACAUAAAAAUAAUAAUAAUCUAUACAUUUACAUAAUUAACUAACAAUUUAGGAUAGUUUUUUUUAUUAUCAUUAUAAUAAUAAUUAUUAUAAAAAUAAAAUAAAAUCAUGUCAUAAUAAAACCCUUUCCCCCCUCCCCCGAAAAAAAAAUAUUCAUUUAAAAUGAAAAUAUUUAAAAAAUUAUGUAAAAAUAAAUUAUAUAGACAAUGAAUAAAUGAAGUAUAAAUGAAAGCUUAAAGUAAAUAAUUGUGUGGAAAUUCAAAACAAACCUCCUCACAAUUUGAAAACCAAUCUAUGUUAAUAAAAUUACAAUAUAAAACCUACAAUAUAUUAUAUGUAGUUUAUAAAUAAAAGAAAAAUUGCUGUAAAAUUAAUUUAAUAAACAAAAAAGUUAUAUAGAAAAUAGUAAAAAAAAAACAUUAUGAGAAUUAAAUCAAAGUUUAAAGGCACAACUAAAAUUGCAAGUGGUUUACAUAAAAUACAAUUAUAAUUUUGGCCUUUCAAACAAAUUAUUUAGUUUUUGUUUUUUAAUUUUGUUUAAUUACAGCACAGAUUUACUGAAAAUGGGUGUAUGUGUGUGUGAGACUGAAAACUAACUAAAAACAAAUAAAUAAAUAAAAAAAUUCUUUGAAAAUCUUAAAAAACCCACAAAAUUUUGUAUUUAAACAUAAAAUGUUAAGGCAGGCGAGUUGAAUUGUAGUUUAUUAUUUGUUUUUUUUAUAAUUUUUAAAAUUUAGUUUUUAAUAUAAAUAAUAUAAAACACCUCCUCUAAUAAAAAACUAAUAACAAACUUGUUACGCUCAAAAA